rnacentral:tRNA from 1 species
AAGGGAGACCUAAUUCAGGUAUGGGACGAAAAAAAAGUAGUCCCAACCAAGAAUCAAUCCCAAAAGGUCGGAGCGAGGCGAAAUUGGCUUUCAAACUAGGUUCUGGGUUCACACAAGACCUGAAUCAGGAACAAGGGCUAUUAGCUCAGGUGGUUAGAGCGCACCCCUGAUAAGGGUGAGGUCCCUGGUUCGAGUCCAGGAUGGCCCACCUGCACAGGUGGCAAAAACAAGAGAAGCGAGGAAUCAGCACCUUAUCUUAUCUAUAUAUAAGAGAGAAUGCUGGCUCUGAGUAAAGAGUCCAGAGGAACCUUGAAAACUGCAUAGAGCUAGGUGAAAAAGCCAAAAAAGAAGACCGCAA